UACAGAGGGUGCGAGCGUUGUUCGGAAUUACUGGGCGUAAAGCGCACGUAGGCGGCUUUGUAAGUUAGAGGUGAAAGCCCGGAGCUCAACUCCGGAAUUGCCUUUAAGACUGCAUCGCUCGAAUCAUGGAGAGGUGAGUGGAAUUCCGAGUGUAGAGGUGAAAUUCGUAGAUAUUCGGAAGAACACCAGUGGCGAAGGCGACUCACUGGACAUGUAUUGACGCUGAGGUGCGAAAGCGUGGGGAGCAAACAGG
rnacentral:rRNA from 1 species